UAUCUGGUUGAUCCUGCCAGUAGUCAUAUGCUUGUCUCAAAGAUUAAGCCAUGCAUGUCUAAGUACAAACCUUAAUACGGUGAAACCGCGAAUGGCUCAUUAAAUCAGCUAUGGUUCCUUAGAUCGUCUCAUCCUACUCGGAUAACUGUGGAAAAUCUAGAGCUAAUACGUGCUUACAAGCCCUGACCUCACGGGAGGGGCGCAUUUAUUAGAUCAAAACCAAUCGGGGCUUGCCCCGUCUGCUUGGUGACUCUGGAUAACUUUUGUGCUGAUCGCAUGGCCUCUGCGCUGGCGACGUAUCUUUCAAGUGUCUGCCCUAUCAACUUACGAUGGUAGGUGAUAUGCCUACCAUGGUUAUAACGGGUAACGGGGAAUCAGGGUUCGAUUCCGGAGAGGGAGCCUGAGAAACGGCUACCACAUCUAAGGAAGGCAGCAGGCGCGCAAAUUACCCACUCCCGGCACGGGGAGGUAGUGACGAAAAAUAACGAUACGGGACUCUUUUUGAGGCCCCGUAAUUGGAAUGAGUACACUUUAAAUCCGUUAACAAGUAUCUAUUGAGGGCAAGUCUGGUGCCAGCAGCCGCGGUAAUUCCAGCUCCA
rnacentral:ncRNA from 1 species